rnacentral:lncRNA from 1 species
AUUGAUUGCUAGUGCUUACUUCCAUGGGCACUCAAAAAAGCGCUUCAUAUUUACGGCUCCUUAUAACUUCAAAAGCCAUCCUAGCAGUGAAUGGAAACACACAUAUGGGGAGAAACUAAGGCUCCCUACUAAAAACGUGCAACAUGUGACUGGGACAUCUUGAAAUACGUUGUGAACUUCCCAGCACAUCUGUUAGAAAGGAGGUCCAGAAAAAGAGCACAAAGAGAAUGGUCUGUAUUUAAAGAUGUAACAGCUGAGAAAGCACAGUGUAAUUUUCAAGAAAAUGACUGUAGCCAUUCUGCUUGGGCUUACAUCUAUCAUUGCUAAUCACUGUCGGAAAAACUUUGGGCAAAUGACUUAACAUUUCUGUUCCUGUAUUUCUUCAUCUGUAAAAUAAGAAUAAAGGUUGUUACGAUGAUUAAAUGAGCUAAUAUGUAUAAAGUACUUAGAAUAGGGUCUGAC